AAUCAGGUGUAGGAAGCCAGGGAAAAAGCUCCCAGUCAGUACUUUCUUUGUUAAUGAAGUCGUCUGGUCCUUAGGGUGGGCGCCUAGUCAAUUGUAUCCAUAACAUUGAAGUUUAUCACAUGCCUAGAGGCGAAGUAGAAACUAGAGAGCCAAGUCUCAAGUCAUAAAGUAGAAACCAUAUAAGUUUAUAGACGUCUUCAGUUUUAGUCAAGUUUUAAAUGAUGUACUUAGGCUCUUUAUCAAAGUCUGCUUUAUUAAUGCAUGCAGCAACCAUGAUUGUAUUUAUGAGCGGCUAUAGGAGCUAGCAAAGCUACUUAGGAUUUGGGAAGAAACCCAAAAUCUUGAUAAAGGUGAGAGCCAUAGAAGUGUAAAGUUAAAAAAAAAAACUUGUCUCCUUCUUCACUCCACCUUAAAAAGAAAGCCUUAUUAUGCCUUGAAAUUCGAAAACUUACAUGGGGAUUUGUGGCUUUGUUAAGUUGUUAACGUGCAGGUUGCCCCAAAAAGCAGCAAAAUCCAAUUGAAUUGAAGAAGCUGAAGCCGGGAGGCAUUGAGAGUGGACUUUUGAUUUUUGCAGCAACAAGUUAGUGGGAAAAAGAUUCAAACGACGAGCAUUUAAAAACAUGCCUUUACUAGCAGCCUUUCUUAUGAAUUUGGGAGCAAUAUCUUCGAACAAAGACAAAUCGCCCAAAAGGAGCAAGUUUUUUGGUCUGGAUUUGAAGAAGAAGAAGAAAAGGGUCAUGGAGGAGAGAAAGUCCUCUGUAUCAGAUGUUGGAGCUUGGGGUAUGAACAUAAUCAGCUCAGUGGGAAUUAUCAUGGUCAACAAGCAGCUCAUGUCCCAAACUGGCUUCGCCUUUUCCUUUGCUACAACGUUAACUGGAUUUCACUUUUCUGUGACUGCGUUGGUGGGCUGGAUUUCAAAUGCCUCUGGCUAUUCUGAAUCCAAAUCUGUUCCCUUCUGGGAGCUUCUUUGGUUCUCAAUUAUCGCCAACACGUCGAUAACAGCCAUGAACUUCAGCCUCAUGUUAAACUCUGUUGGAUUUUAUCAGAUAUCAAAGCUAAGCAUGAUACCUGUGGUGUGUGUCAUGGAGUGGAUUCUUCAUGGAAAACAAUACUCUAGGGAAGUGAAGAUGGCCGUUGUUGUGGUCGUUGUCGGUGUCGGUGUCUGUACAGUGACUGAUGUGAAAGUUAAUGCCAAAGGCUUUCUCUGUGCCUUAGUAGCAAUCUUAUGCACAUCACUGCAACAAAUUUCUAUAGGUUCAUUACAGAAGAAGUACUCAAUAGGAUCCUUUGAAUUACUAAGCAAGACAGCUCCCAUCCAAGCACUUUCCCUUCUAACAGUUGGCCCAUUCAUUGACUACUGCCUUACUAGUAAAUCUCUACUGAAAUACAACUACGCUUUUAGUGCAUUUUGCUUCAUAUUACUGUCAUGCUCCCUAGCUGUGUUCUGCAACAUCAGUCAAUAUUUAUGCAUCGGGCGCUUCUCAGCUGUAUCGUUCCAGGUUUUAGGCCAUAUGAAGACGGUAUGCGUCCUGAUGUUGGGGUGGCUGCUGUUCGAUUCAGAGAUGACAUUGAAAAACAUAUCAGGGAUGGUUCUUGCCAUUAUUGGGAUGGUGGUGUAUAGCUGGGCCGUUGAGAUUGAGAAGCAAGCCAAUGCAAUGUCCAUCCCUCAGCCAAAGAGCCAACUUUCAGAUGAGGAGUUGAUGCUGUUGAAGGAGGGGAUGGAUGACAGUAGUUUGAGAGAUGAAGAGCUUGGUCAGCUCCCAAAAUGAUAUGAAUCAGUUUCUCUUUUUUUCUGUACUUUUUUUUCCUUUUUGCUCUGCCAUUUGUUACCCACCAAUGUGGAUUUUAAGUCCCCUAAAUGGUUAUUCUAGAUUGUGAAAUUUGUAUUUGAAUAAAAGUAUUUGAAAUUGUCGCUGUAAAUCAUAAUAUCAAUGAAUUGGAAUCUU